rnacentral:piRNA from 1 species
UCUACGUUUAUAUAAAGAUGCUGUCCAUUUG